CAAAAGUAGUAUCCAACGCGUUUCGUCACUAUGGUGACUUCCUCAGGGAUAUAGAUGUGUUAUCUUCAUGGUUUAUAUAUCAUGCCAAUUUUCAAAUUCGCGGGGAAAUUCACGUUACUUCCGGUUUUCGGCCCUUAGACUACCUGCGUUCCACCUUGGAACGCAUAGCGUCACUUCCGGUUUCGGAUCUAAUCCGAUCGAGGGGAGCCCUCUUCUGCUAGCACUAAUAGAAGUGCAGCAGAAAAGGCUUCCCCUCUGGGGCAACAAUCAGUUCUCAUUAUACAAAUAUGGGACAGAAAAAGAAGUCUGUAUGCCAUGAAAAUAAU